AUUACCGAGUUUUCAACUCCCAAACCCUUUUGUGAACAUACCUAUCGUUGCUUCGGCGGACUCGCCCCAGCGUCCGGCCGGCCCCGCGCCGGCCGCGGCCUGGAUCCAGGCGGCCGCCGGAGACCCCCAAACUCUGUAUUCUCAGUAUCUUCUGAAUCCGCCGCAAGGCAAAACAAAUGAAUCAAAACUUUCAACAACGGAUCUCUUGGUUCUGGCAUCGAUGAAGAACGCAGCGAAAUGCGAUAAGUAAUGUGAAUUGCAGAAUUCAGUGAAUCAUCGAAUCUUUGAACGCACAUUGCGCCCGCCAGCAUUCUGGCGGGCAUGCCUGUUCGAGCGUCAUUUCAACCCUCGACUUCCCUUUGGGGAAAUCGGCGUUGGGGACCGGCCGUAUACCGCCGGCCCCGAAAUGAAGUGGCGGCCCGUCCGCGGCGACCUCUGCGUAGUAAUCCAACUCGCACCGGAACCCCGACGUGGCCACGCCGUAAAACCCCCGACUUCUGAACGUUGACCUCGGAUCAGGUAGGAAUACCCGCGAACU
rnacentral:rRNA from 1 species